rnacentral:rRNA from 1 species
CAGCCGCCGCGGUAAUACGAAGGGGGCUAGCGUUGUUCGGAUUUACUGGGCGUAAAGCGCACGUAGGCGGAUCGAUCAGUCAGGGGUGAAAUCCCAGAGCUCAACUCUGGAACUGCAUUUGAUACUGUGUUGCUUGAGUUCGGGAGAGGUGAGUGGAAUUCCCAGUGUAGAGGUGAAAUUCGUAGAUAUUGGGAAGAACACCGGUGGCGAAGGCGGCUCACUGGACCGACACUGACGCUGAGGCGCGAAAGCGUGGGGAGCAAACAGGAUUAGAUACCCGGGUAGUCCCUGUCUCUUAUAC